UACGGAGGAUCCAAGCGUUAUCCGGAUUUAUUGGGUUUAAAGGGUGCGUAGGCGGCUCGAUAAGUUAGAGGUGAAAGUCUGUGGCUCAACCACAGAACUGCCUCUGAUACUGUCGAGCUAGAGAUUAGAUGCAGCGGGCGGAAUGAGUAGUGUAGCGGUGAAAUGCUUAGAUAUUACUCAGAACACCGAUUGCGAAGGCAGCUCGCUAAUCUACAUCUGACGCUGAGGCACGAAAGCGUGGGUAGCGAACAGG
rnacentral:rRNA from 1 species